AUGCAAGUGCAGGCGGUCACUACCAUACGACUUUGUCUUGCGAAUCAGGUCAUGUAUCAUGUCAUGGAUGAAGAUUCUCCUAGGAAAAUUUGGGACAAGUUGGCAAGUCGUUAUAUGUUCAAGUCAGCGACCAAUAAGCUGUAUUUGAAGCAAAAGUUCUAUGGGCUGAAGAUGCAGGAUGGGUCAGAUCUUGUGGAGCAUGUGAAUGCCUUAAAUCAAUUGGUCACAGAUCUAGCGUGUCUGGAUGUGAAGAUUGAGGACGAGGAUAAGGCACUACUUCUUCUUGUUGUUGGGGAACGUAGUAAUUUCAAAAAAAAUUCUACGCACACGCAAGAUCAUGGUGAUGAUAUAGCAACGAGAGGGGAGAGUGUUGUCCACGUACCCUCGUAG
rnacentral:rRNA from 1 species